rnacentral:lncRNA from 1 species
AUGGGAAAGUGCCUAAGUAAACAAAACUGUAAUUCAAACAAGCAAGUCAAACAAGUGCUGGAUGUUAAUCUACACAGAUUUCUUUCCUUAAAAACGUUUAUUUGGGGUUCCCACUGGUCCUUAAAAAGUCUUGGAGAAAACAUGGAGAGAACUAAGGUUAGCGGAGAGCUAGCUAACAUUGCCGGAGAGCUAGCUAAUAUUAGCAGCAAGCUAGCUAAUGUUACCGGGGAGAGAAGUAACAUUAGUGUCAAGCCAACUAAUUUGACUUUUAAAAUGGUGCAAGAACCCUGUCCUAUUAGCUAUUAGUGUCACUGGUUGUACAGUUCUUCAGUAUGUUGCAGACCAUGGACAAAUCAACAAAUAAACAAAAUCUGGUGAGAAAUGUUUUGUAU